CAACAAAUUUACAUGAGCGGGAGUUGAUCCACUCAUAUGUCUUGAACACCAUGGUGGAAGUGAAGCCGUACAUCAAACAAUUCACGGCUAAAUAUUGGAGGUAUACCCACAGGGAUCCUACCUCGGAAGAAUCCAAGGAUAUUUUCGAUAAGGGCGGCGGUCACGGUUUCAGUAGCUGGUUCUGUGGUUUGGCAAGAACUGACAAAGACAUGAAUCCCUUGCUACGAAAAAUUGCU